AAAGAUCCAUUUACAAGGAGAAAAAGAAAGGGGGAAGGUAGUGGAGGGCCGGAGAGGAGGGGGGCGAUCUUGCAUUAAAUAAAUAAUUAAAGGAACCUGCUGCUGCUCGGGUUUGCCUCCUGCCGGGGAAGGGAGGCGGGUUUGAAGCGCUCCCGCACGUCUGGAGGGGGGCGAGCUUGUCUCAGACAGGUGAUGGGCGUUUCGGCGGCGCUCCGGAUUGACUCCUUGGGUUUCACUUUGGUCUGAUCUAAGCAAAUAUGCAGAAGUACCGGCUGGUCCAGUCCUAGGAGCGCGCGCGAGAGAGCAGCAGAAGCGGAGCUCCUCUAGCAAAGGGAACAUACAAACCCCCCAAGCCCCCCCCCACCCGGGCGCACCGCAACGUGGACGAAGAGCCCCGAGCCGCACCAGUGUCUUUCCCCGAGGGAUGGUACUGAAUUUCCCAGCCACAGGAGCCGGGCUGGAGCUCCGCCGCAGCACCCUUGCCUUGGAUUCGUGCCCCGAGUGCAUGAGAACGCGAUGAGGACCUGGGCUUGCGUUUUGCUGCUAGGUUUUUGCUACCUUCCUUUUGCGUUUCCCGAGGAAGCUGAAAUCCCCCAGGAGCUAAUCGAGAGGCUGGCUCACAGCGAAAUCCACAGCAUCCGCGAUUUGCAGCGCCUCCUGGAGAUUGAUUCCGUAGGAUAUGACGAUGUUUCAGAAACAAACUUGAGAUCUCAUAGUGUUCAUUCUGCUAAACAUGUUCAAGAGAAUCACCCUGUACCCAUUCGCAGAAAAAGAAGCAUUGAGGAAGCCAUUCCUGCCGUCUGCAAAACAAGAACUGUUAUAUACGAGAUACCUCGGAGUCAGAUCGAUCCCACAUCUGCUAAUUUCCUGAUAUGGCCACCGUGCGUGGAGGUGAAACGUUGUACUGGCUGUUGCAACACCAGCAGCGUGAAAUGCCAGCCGUCACGGAUACAUCACAGAAGUGUCAAGGUGGCAAAAGUGGAAUAUGUUAGAAAAAAGCCAAAAUUAAAAGAAGUUCUGGUGAGGUUAGAAGAGCACAUGGAAUGCACCUGUACAUCAUCAAAUUCUAAUUCAGAUUAUCGAGAAGAAGAAACUGGAAGGCCUAGGGAAACAGGUAAAAAACGGAAACGAAAAAGGUUAAAACCAACAUAAAAACUACUGGAACUAUUUGCUAAUCAGAUUAACAGGUAUUUAUUGGGAGUAGUAUGAUAGAAGCAAAGAUUUUGUAAAAUUCAACUUUAAAAGUCAGCAUGUAAACUCAAUCAAAACAGCAUUUAGAACUUCUUGUCCCAGAUGUAAGGUGAAAUAAGCUAGAAAAAAAAAGAACUUCUCUCUGGGACAUGGAUGUACAUGGUUUGUUACAUUCCUGAACCUACUAUGUAUGGUGCUUUAUUGACUGUAUACUUUAUUUGUUCUCCUGUGUGAAAAAAACUGGCUGAAAAGAACACUUAAUGAGAACAAAGAGACAAUGUACAUUUGUUUAAUGUGACAUCAAAGCAAGUAUUGUAGCACUCUGUGAAACAAUAGGAAGCUUCCCUGUCCAAAAAACCACAAAACAACAAAACAAACAAAGAAAAUAAAAAAGACAGUUGAAUGAAUGGAGGAUACCAAAAGUACAAAACAAAAAAUAAAAGAGGAAGAAGAAGAAGGAAAAAAAAAAGACAGAAAUCUUAAGUGAAUAGUGGAUUUCUGUCAGAGCAGUCAACGGUGCUUUAUGUCAAGAAAUGUGCCUGCUUUCUUGAUGAAGAUGGAUGGACACAAAUGGACUUCAGGCACAAAAAAGCAGGAAUGUAUCAAAUGAUCAAAUGCCACGCAAACACUAUAGAAACAGUACAUCCUUGCUUGGUGGUGUUUUAAAGUCUAUACAAAAAAAGAAUACCUUCUGGGGAGCCUUAAAUGGAUUUUUUUUUACACCAUAAAGUGAUUAUUAAGCUUUCUUUUUACUCUUUGCCUAGCUUUUUAUUAUCUCUUGGACUACAUUUAUCAGUAACACAUAUAGAAGACUGGUGUAACAGUAAGCAGAACACAAACAUUAUGGUAUUUCUCCUAGUGGGAUGCAAACUAAUGAGAUAUAUUAAAAUAAAAAUGGUAUACCUAUGCAUAA